rnacentral:rRNA from 1 species
AAGGCCUUGCGCUUUUGGAGCGGCCGAUGCCUGAUUAGCUAGUUGGUGGGGUAAUGGCCUACCAAAGCUUCGAUCAGUAGCUGGUCUGAGAGGACGGCCAGCCACACUGGGACUGAGACACGGCCCAGACUCCUACGGGAGGCAGCAGUGGGGAAUUUUGGACAAUGGGCGCAAGCCUGAUCCAGCCAUGCCGCGUGAGUGAAGAAGGCCUUCGGGUUGUAAAGCUCUUUCAGCCGGGAAGAAAAGGUUGCGAUUAAUAAUCGCAAUUUAUGACGGUACCGGAAGAAGAAGCACCGGCUAACUACGUGCCAGCAGCCGCGGUAAUACGUAGGGUGCGAGCGUUAAUCGGAAUUACUGGGCGUAAAGGGUGCGCAGGCGGUUUUGUAAGUCAGAUGUGAAAUCCCCGGGCUUAACCUGGGAACU